rnacentral:rRNA from 1 species
GGCAGGCUUAACACAUGCAAGUCGAGCGCCCCGCAAGGGGAGCGGCAGACGGGUGAGUAACGCGUGGGAAUCUACCCAUCACUACGGGAACAACUCCGGGAAACUGGAGCUAAUACCGUAUACGUCCUUCGGGAGAAAGAUUUAUCGGUGAUGGAUGAGCCCGCGUUGGAUUAGCUAGUUGGUGGGGUAAUGGCCUACCAAGGCGACGAUCCAUAGCUGGUCUGAGAGGAUGAUCAGCCACACUGGGACUGAGACACGGCCCAGACUCCUACGGGAGGCAGCAGUGGGGAAUAUUGGACAAUGGGCGAAAGCCUGAUCCAGCCAUGCCGCGUGAGUGAUGAAGGCCCUAGGGUUGUAAAGCUCUUUCAACGGUGAAGAUAAUGACGGUAACCGUAGAAGAAGCCCCGGCUAACUUCGUGCCAGCAGCCGCGGUAAUACGAAGGGGGCUAGCCGUUGUUCGGAAUUACUGGGCGUAAAGCCGCACGUAAGGCGGAUUGUUAAGUGAGGGGGUGAAAUCCCAGGGCUCAACCCUGGAACUGCCUCUCAUACUGGCAAUCUCCGAGUUCAA